ACAGCGAUCAAUCAUAACAAAUUAGCCAUUGUGAAGAUCAUAUGUGCAUAUAUUGACCCUUAGCUAAAUUGCGAAGUUAAACUUAUCCUAUUAUUGAUCAGAUUGUAUCUACAAAUCUAAAUCUACAUACUAUCCAAAGCAGUGAAGUCCGGCGGUAUUUGGCAUAACAGGGUACUGAACUAAAGUAGUUAUACUUAAUAUCUACUUAUGCUAAGUAGGUAUCCGCUCGAAUUCUGUGACUGGAAAAAUUAGAGGAAACUUUCCUUUUAUCAUCUCUAGAAUAACUGUGGCACUCAUCCAGAGAAAUAGUUGUACUCCGACCCAAAAACUUACCAACUUGCGGUAACGAAUCACCAAAAGAAUUUUGUAACCCGUUUUCCUACCCUAUCUGGAAUAAAGUUCACAAAAUCUA